UUGUUUAUUUAAAAUUUACUCGGACUUAAUGAAUCAGGAGUGUAAAACCUUCGGCGGGCACUCGCCCGCUGACGCCGACGGUGGUCGAAACCAACAUCCCGCCGAAGCAACAGGUAAGACAACAUGGUGUGGAGUACUGACACAGAGUGCCAAUCUCAGUAAUGAUCCUUCCGCAGGUUCACCUACGGAAA
rnacentral:misc_RNA from 1 species